rnacentral:lncRNA from 1 species
CCAAAUUUGUGUUUUAUAAAACGAUCUCGAGACACGACGCUGUCUUGGGAAGUGUAAAAUGACAGCCGAAUCUCAAGUCAUCGAUCGACCUUCCUCAAGACCGCGAUUCUAACCUAACUUUAAGUAAAAGCAUUUUUAGAGUUUAUUGAUAAUAUUGGAGAAGAAAAUCGCCCGGGAAGUAUACAAAAGCGAUAUAUUCAAGAUAAAAAUAUAAUCUAAAAUACAAUGGAGUAUUACAAUAUUGAAGUUCAUCAGCGAAUCAGCGCAUUAACUUAAACAACAAAGGUUUUAUGCUACUUAUAGGAAUAUAACCAGUUUUUAUGAGGAAGCCCACUUUCCAAAAAUGUACAGGUACUAGAAGA